AACGCACAUUGCGCCCCUUGGUAUUCCGAGGGGCAUGCCUGUUCGAGCGUCAUUACAACCCUCAAGCAAUGCUUGGUAUUGGGCUCGGCUGUAACGGGCCGGUCUUAAAACUAUUGGCAGUGCUUUCUAGCUCUAAGCGUAGUAAAUUUUCUCGCUACAGAGUCAGACAAGCUCUAGCCAUUAAACUUUAGUUUUUUGCUUGACCUCGGAUCAGGUAGGGAUACCCGCUGAACUUAA
rnacentral:misc_RNA from 1 species